rnacentral:miRNA from 17 species
CAGCGCCUCUCCCUCCGCCCACUCAGCCACCACGUGGAAGCCGAGUGAGGGCCUCGGGGCAGCAU